rnacentral:rRNA from 1 species
AACUUAAAGGAAUUGACGGGGGCCCGCACAAGCGGUGGAGCAUGUGGUUUAAUUCGAUGAUACGCGAGGAACCUUACCUGGGCUCAAAUGUAUGUUGACGUAUUCUGAAAGGGAUACUUCUUCGGACAAUAUACAAGGUGCUGCAUGGUUGUCGUCAGCUCGUGCCGUGAGGUGUCGGGUUAAGUCCCAUAACGAGCGCAACCCCUAUCAUUAGUUGCCAUCAGGUAAUGCUGGGGACUCUAAAGGAACUGCCUACGCAAGUAGUGAGGAAGGUGGGGAUGACGUCAAAUCAGCACGGCCCUUACGUCCAGGGCUACACACGUGUUACAAUGGCCAGUACAGAGGGCAGCCACCCCGCGAGGGGGCGCUAAUCCUAAAAGCUGGUCCCAGUUCGGAUCGGAGUCUGCAACCCGACUCCGUGAAGCUGGAUUCGCUAGUAAUCGCGCAUCAGCCACGGCGCGGUGAAUACGUUCCCGGGCCUU